rnacentral:rRNA from 1 species
UACGAAGGGGGCUAGCGUUGCUCGGAAUUACUGGGCGUAAAGCGCACGUAGGCGGCUUUCUAAGUCGGGGGUGAAAUCCUGGAGCUCAACUCCAGAACUGCCUUCGAUACUGGAGAGCUUGAGUCCGGGAGAGGUGAGUGGAACUGCGAGUGUAGAGGUGGAAUUCGUAGAUAUUCGCAAGAACACCAGUGGCGAAGGCGGCUCACUGGCCCGGUACUGACGCUGAGGUGCGAAAGCGUGGGGAGCAAACAGG